ACGGCUCAGUAACACGUGGAUAACCUGCCCUUGGGUCCGGCAUAACUCCGGGAAACUGGGGAUAAUUCCGGAUAACGCAUAUAUGCUGGAAUGCUUUAUGCGUAAAAUGGAUUCGUCUGCCCAAGGAUGGGUCUGCGGCCUAUCAGGUAGUAGUGGGUGUAAUGUACCUACUAGCCUACGACGGGUACGGGUUGUGAGAGCAAGAGCCCGGAGAUGGAUUCUGAGACAUGAAUCCAGGCCCUACGGGGCGCAGCAGGCGCGAAAACUUUACAAUGCGGGAAACCGUGAUAAGGGGACACCGAGUGCCAGCAUCAUAUGCUGGCUGUCCAGGUGUGUAAAAUACACCUGUUAGCAAGGGCCGGGCAAGACCGGUGCCAGCCGCCGCGGUAACACCGGCGGCCCGAGUGGUGAUCGUGAUUAUUGGGUCUAAAGGGUCCGUAGCCGGUUUGGUCAGUCCUCCGGGAAAUCUGAUAGCUCAACUAUUAGGCUUUCGGAGGAUACUGCCAGACUUGGAACCGGGAGAGGUAAGAGGUACUACAGGGGUAGGAGUGAAAUCUUGUAAUCCCUGUGGGACCACCUGUGGCGAAGGCGUCUUACCAGAACGGGUUCGACGGUGAGGGACGAAAGCUGGGGGCACGAACCGGAUUAGAUACCCGGGUAGUCCCAGCCGUAAACGAUGCUCGCUAGGUGUCAGGCAUGGCGCGACCGUGUCUGGUGCCGCAGGGAAGCCGUGAAGCGAGCCACCUGGGAAGUACGGCCGCAAGGCUGAAACUUAAAGGAAUUGGCGGGGGAG
rnacentral:rRNA from 1 species